ensembl:lncRNA
CUGCUGACCCAUCCAGAGAACACAGAACUCCUGACUGGUUGGGACUGAUUUUUGUACCAACAUUGAGGAGACCAAAUCUACAGCUUUCUGGUUGCUCUGUCAGAGGUGGUAAGAAGGCUCUUCCUGUGUGAGUACAGGAGACACGUGAAGAGAAGGGCUUCCCCUGCCAGUGCCUGAGUACCUGCGCCUCCUCCACAGAAACAGAGGAUCACAGACACUGCAGGACUUCAGAAAUAACUCACCUGCUGAAUCUCGAGAGUGAAGAAGCUGAAGAUUCUGCUGAGGUGUCUGAACUGCUGGGAUCACAUA